rnacentral:tRNA from 1 species
GCUGUGGUUUAGUGGUAUGACAUUGGCUUCCCAAGCCAAUUACUCGGGUUCGAAUCCCGGCAGCCGCA